rnacentral:rRNA from 11 species
GCGUGGACCUGUAUCCGACCGUGCUCUGGAGAAUGGUUUUGAGCACGAGCAUGAGUGUUUGGAGCCCGAAGGAUGGACGAUUGUGCCUGAGAAGGGCCAAGACAAGUGUUGUGGAGGCUCGUAGUGAAACUCACGUACACAUCGGUUGGUUCUCCCGAGCAACAGCGGCGAAAGACU